GCUUGAAGGACCAGCAACACAUCUCGGUAUGACCAGUACAGACUCAACUGUACACACUGUCCUGAGUGUCCAGACCCAUAUAUUAUGACGGCACCAAUGACAACUGAUGAAACACAGCUGACCUGUGGGAGGUGUUUCGCAUAUUAUCCGAGUCAACAGAAGGAGUUCGUCUUUACGAUCAGCUCCUUCCGACCAUCUCCGAGAUGUCAUCCGGAGAGUUGAAGUUUGCUCUUGCCAUCCGGUCUCUUCUCCAGAGUAUCGUCAGAGGUACAAUGAUUUAUAUUAAGAAUAUCUUCAAUAUAAUUAGCCCUAGCAUUUCAAGUGGAUGAAUGUUUAAUUAGUAAGAAUCAUGAUACCACUUAAAAAGUUGUCAAUUUGCUUUAAAAGGGUAUUUGUGGGGGAUAAAUGUAAAGGUGUACAUAUAAAUGAAAAUAUUGAGUGUUUUAUUAUGAGGUACAGCACAGUACAAGCUUUUAGGUAUGAUUUUGUCACCGCUAAAUCUGCAUUACACAUUUUGUAAUCUACUUUUAUUUCCAAAAUCUGGUUAAACUGUCUGGGUUUUUCUCACAGUAGGAGCAGAAAUAGGCACUCCUUGAUUAAUCACGCCUCCAUCACUGUGUCAAGCUCUGCUGACCUGGCUCUGUCAAUGGAAUGUGGCUGUGUACUAUUUACACUUUGGAGGUCACAUUGAAGCAACACUUAGCAAUGAUAGGGAAUUACGCAGUGCAGUAUAUAUUUUAUUUCAAUAUUGUUGCUGCUAGUGAGUUGUACUAAACAAGUAUCCACUAUGUAUUUCAUAACAUUGUAAUUUGUUUUGGCAUUCUCAAUUUUUGUUUCGGAUAUACUGUAUAUAUAGGGAUGCUGUAAUCUAAAAUUAGGUUUUGCAUACAUCAAGAGUACGUUUGUGGCUCCUCACGAGUUGUACUUGCUCAGAAAUAUAUACUGUACAGUAAUGUUAUAUACAGGUUGCACUUAAAAAAAUCCAAACAUCAUUUAUCCCCAAACUGUGAACAUCCAAAAGUGAUCGCAUUGAUUAUAAAAAUUUACCGCGCUGCCAGAUGAUGGCGUUUCAGCACACUAAGCUAAGAUAUCAUCACCGGGGCAUUUUCUCGUAGUCGGUCACUGAGUUACACCCUCCGACUCGCCGUCACCCGCACUUACGAACGGGAUCCCAAUACAUUCACCUCAAAAAGUUGUAAUUAAACUGUCAUUAUUUUCAUCAUUGUUUAACAGCACUUUAUGUUAUGUAACCUAAAGUAUGGGUCCAGGAACUUAUCCCUGUUGUAAGUUGCGGACGGCCUGUAUUAUUAUUAACAUUAUAUUUUGAGUUCCUUAGUUUAGUGUGUUUGUUAUACUUGUACAUGCAGUAUUAUAUAUUAGUUUAUAGUUGUCAUAUAUGUAGUAUUUUAUUUGGUGCUUAAUGAAAUAUUAGGGUUUUUAAUAAUGACCUUGAGUUAGCCAACAAGUUCAGUUAUCUGAAACAUUUUGGAUUUUUGAAGUGGAACCUAUAUUUCAACUCCCUCCUCAAAAUAUUAAUGUACUAUAGGAACAGAAAUGGUUGAUUUAAAUUAUUGCUCCAAACUGCACCACACCAUAGUGCCAUCUUUGGCAUAUACAGUAAAUGAACUUUUGUAAACUGUACUGUACAUAUUUAAUGUCACAUGAUGUGACAAUGUUUGUUUUGUCAAGUGAUGUAUAGUGCAUGUCAUUAGUGUAACGGUCGGUGCCAAAUCGUCGUUAUUUGGCGCCAUUCAUUUUUAGAUAUACCUGUAUCUCAUUUAUGAGACAUUGUUUAUCUAAGCCAAGAGUUGUUACGUCUUGCAUAUUUCAUCUCCGUCGUCAGAAAAUGUAACGGCGCGAUGUUGAGCAAUUUGUUGCCAGACUAUGGAUGAUAGAUAGGAUCUGUACAUAUCAUAUUAAGUCUUCAACACAAGAUAUUUAUUGUCAACUCUAAAUUAAAUAUGUUGUGAAUAAAACUUUUCAAUUUGUGUUACCAAAGUGAGAAUAAAAGAUUGUCUCCGGCCA
rnacentral:lncRNA from 1 species